AAGUAGUACAGUUCUUUUAGAAUUUGUCUAGCAGAUUCUCCGUUUUUUACUAGAAAAUCCCC
ensembl:snRNA U7 U7 small nuclear RNA